GAUGAACGCUAGCGGCAGGCCUAACACAUGCCAGUCGAGGGAGAGGUUACCUUCGGGUAACCAAAACCGGCGCACGGGUGCGUAACGCGUAUACAAUCUGCCUUUCACAUAGGGAUAGCCCGAAGAAAUUUGGAUUAAUACCUAAUGGUAUAUAAGAGCGGCAUCGUUUUUAUAUUAAAGCUACGGUGGUGAAAGAUGAGUAUGCGUUCUAUUAGCUAGUUGGAGAGGUAACGGCUCCCCAAGGCGACGAUAGAUAGGGGUUCUGAGAGGGAUGUCCCCCACACUGGUACUGAGAUACGGACCAGACUCCUACGGGAGGCAGCAGUGAGGAAUAUUGGACAAUGGUCGGAAGACUGAUCCAGCCAUGCCGCGUGCAGGAUGAAGGUCCUAUGGAUUGUAAACUGCUUUUGUAAGGGAAGAAUAAGGAGUACGUGUACUUUGAUGACGGUACCUUACGAAUAAGCAUCGGCUAACUCCGUG
rnacentral:rRNA from 1 species